CGGGGGGGGCAAGCGUUGUUCGGAAUUACUGGGCGUAAAGGGCUCGUAGGCGGCCAACUAAGUCCGACGUGAAAUCCCCAGGCUCAACCUGGGAACUGCGUCGGAUACUGGAUGGCUUGAGUUCGGGAGAGGGAUGCAGAAUUCCAGGUGUAGCGGUGAAAUGCGUAGAUAUCUGGAGGAAUACCGGUGGCGAAGGCGGCAUCCUGGACCGACAUUGACGCUGAUGAGCGAAAGCUAGGGGAGCAAACGGGGUUAGAUACCCCGGUAGUCCUAGCCCUAAACGAUGAAUGCUUGGUGUGACGGGUAUCGAUCCCUGUCGUGCCGAAGCUAACGCAUUAAGCAUUCCGCCUGGGGAGUACGGUCGCAAGGCUG
rnacentral:rRNA from 1 species